rnacentral:miRNA from 1 species
AGGUGUUCUGGUGGGAUGUGAUC